CUCAAGACACAUACACACUCACAUGAAGGUGGGUCUCUAUGAACCUGUGCUUCAAUCCAUCCCACUUCAUAAUCGCCUCUCCACAGGCCUCCAUCCAACCACAGCUGCACAGGCAUCAGAGCUUUGGUUCUACAACGUGAGCUGAUACCAGUAGCCCCUGGAGGGAUUGUUAAAACACUGAUUCCAGGGCCCUAGCCGUGGAGUGUCUGAUUCAGUAGGCCUUAGGUAAGGUCUGAAAAUCUGCGUUUCUAACAAGGUCCCAGGUGAUACUGACGCUACUGAUUCAGGGAUCACACUUUGAGAACAGCUGAAUAGACUGCCAUUCAAGCCAAGGUGGGACUCCUUUGUAAGCCUGGCCCCAGUUUCCGUGUUGGUUAGUCUGUCCAUCCCUGUGGUUUCUGUCCUCCCCUUAGGGCGAAGGCAGAGGGCAGGACAGCGCUUGCUGUAGAGACUGUAGCCAGUGCUCUGAUGCCUAGGGGCUGUGACAGAUCACUAAACCCAGGGGAGCUUUGCUGUAAUUAGUGCUUUCCUGGGGAAGUCAGGGAUUGAGCAACGCGGCAGGCAGGCAGGCAGCUCAUAGGAGCCCAUAAGGGGUGGGACCACGCUGUCGGGCCCUAAACACUGUUCUCAGGCUCUGGGGAUCUAGCUCUACCCAGAGCUGAGCCCUCCCCAACACCUCUGGGUGGGCGUCCCUGUACUGGUGGUGUUGCAGGGGCAGAGAGCUGAUUGCCUCAGCCAUCACGGAGAGACCUGGGUUUGAGUGCUGACUGCCUAAUAGUACUAAUCAUAGGAGUGUGUGUUAAGCCCCAGGCCUGAAGCGUUUCAGCACAUUAUCUCAUGAUGCCUCCCUGUGAUUAUCUUACGUGGACACAAUUCUUAUGGGUGUGGGGUUCUUUCCAGAGGCAUGAAUUUUAUUAAGAGGAUGUGAUGACUACGAUGUCUUCCUUCCCCUAAUCAAGUAAGAGUCUUAGAAUCACAGGAUUCUAAAAUCUUGGAAUUGUCGAACUAUAGAAUUCUAGAAUCUCAGCCGAAUGCAACUCUAGACGCGUGGAACCUCUUCAAGGACCCUAAUCCUCCUGGGAUUUUAGCAUCUUCACAUGCACAUGCAGUUCUUCUUGUCCCCCUUCUCUUUGUAUAGAAUCAUGGCCAGAAAAUGACCUUGAAAGUUCAUCCAGUCCACCCCACCCUGGCUCCGGGCAGGGCAGUGGAGACAGAGGUCCAGCCAGUGAGGACAUUCUUGGAAGUGUUGCACUGGAAUCUUUCCUGGCUCUCUUGCUGGACAAGGACUUGUUGUCUGAAGGGUAUGGGGUCUCAUAUUACUCUCCCCACCGCCACCUUCCACAGGGACUGAGUUCCUGGUGAAGAC
rnacentral:lncRNA from 1 species